AACGGCGAGUGAAGCGGGAAGAGCUCAAAUUUGAAAUCUUCAAGGUUCUACCUUGACGAAUUGUAGUUUAAAGAAGUGUUUUCUGUUAGAGGAGUAGCAAAAGUUCCUUGGAAUGGGACAUCAUAGAGGGUGAGAAUCCCGUAUUUGGUUAUUCUUUCUAGCUUUGUGAUACACUUUCAAAGAGUCGGAUUGUUUGGGAAUGCAGUCCAAAAUGGGUGGUAAAUUUCAUCUAAAGCUAAAUAUUGGCGAGAGACCGAUAGCGAACAAGUACCGUGAGGGAAAGAUGAAAAGAACUUUGAAAAGAGAGUUAAACAGUACGUGAAAUUGUCAAAAGGGAAGCGUUUGACACCAGUGUUGUUUUUCCGAAAAUCAAUUAAGAAGGACUUGAUUUUGUGUUGUAUUGACCUUAUCAGCUUUCUUCACUCUUUUUCGAGUCUUUCUUAAUGCACUUUUCGGUUAACAAGUCAACAUCAAUUUCUUUUGUUGUAAAAGGGUAUUUGGAAGGUGGCUUUCUUUUCGGAGAAAGUGUUUAUAGCCUUAUACCUCUACAAUCGGAGAGAUUGAGGUCUGCAGCGUAGAUCCUUCGGGGCUAGAUACACUUGUGCUAAGUUAUAGCUUUUCAUAGACAACUUGUUGACUAUGUUUAGUCAUGUAGCUUACCCGCUUGUGCUAUUUACCUAC
rnacentral:rRNA from 1 species